rnacentral:rRNA from 1 species
GACGAACGCUGGCGGCGUGCUUAACACAUGCAAGUCGAACGGAAAGGCCUGCUUUCCCUUGUGGAUUGCGGGUGCUCGAGUGGCGAACGGGUGAGUAACACGUGAGUGAUCUGCCCCCAACUUGGGUAUAAGCCUGGGAAACUGGGUCUAAUUCCCGAUAGGACUGCAGGGUGGUGCCUGUGGUGGAAAACGAUUUUCUAGUGGUUGGGGAUGAGCUCGCGGCCUAUCAGCUUGUUGGUGGGGUAAUGGCCUACCAAGGCGGCGACGGGUAGCCGGCCUGAGAGGGUGGACGGCCACAUUGGGACUGAGAUACGGCCCAGACUCCUACGGGAGGCAGCAGUGGGGAAUAGUGCACAAUGGGCGGAAGCCUGAUGCAGCGACGCCGCGUGGGGGAUGACGGCCUUCGGGUUGUAAACUCCUUUCGACCGCGAGGAAGCCGCCUGGUUGGAAGGGUGGUGACGGUAGUGGUAGAAGAAGCACCGGCUAACUACGUG